UAUAUCUUGAAUAAAAAUAACUAAGACAUUCUCUGAAGAAACUCAAGCAUGAUAUUAGCACACGGUGGGUCCAAGAGAAUUAACACCUGCAAUGGUCACGGUCACAGUCCGUUUCUACUUCGGCUGGAGCCCUACCGAGAGGAAUGAUUCAUCCCAUGGAGCUGGAAAGAUAGAGACUCGGAUUUUCGGGCUUUCUGCCUGUAAUACAUCUCAGCCACCCAGUAGAAGCCAUUGGCACAAGUAGGGAGGCACACUACUUCCCAUUCCUCUGGAAGACACCCAGCCCGUCCCGCUCCCCGCAGCGCACCUUUCAGACCCGUUCGCUCCCAGCGAGAGGCCGGCCGAGCUGUGUCCGCGCCCGUCCUGGACAGUCCCUCUUCCCCCGGGGAUGCCGGGGGUCAUUUCCCCGCUCCCCGCCGUGGGACCGCGCUCUCCUCUCGUGCUGCGCAAACCCGCCGCACGGAGCCGGUGUCGGCACCGGGAAUUGCGAGGGUGACUCGGUUUCGGAGGGAGGGACGGAAGGAGCGGGCAGGGCGGCUGUCCCGCUGCCUUUCCGUCCCGUCCCGUCCCGUGCCGUGCCGUGCCGUGCCGUGCCGUGCCGUGCCCGGCAGCGCGGUGCCGCCGGCCCGGACGGGGCGAUCCUGCGGGCCGAGCAUGCUCACAGGGCGGCGGGGGCGGGCGGGCAGCACCGCGGGAGCGCAGCCCCGGCGCGCUGGGAGCCCGGGCGGGCACGGGGCGAGCGGAGCCCGGCUGGGAGCCACCGGGAGUCGUGGAGAGCGAGCCCAGAGGGAGCGGGCAAGGAGCCUGUGCCACGGGCAGGGUCCGCGCUGAGCGGAGCGGGGAGCCCGAGGGAGAAAGAGAGAGGCGGGCUGAGCGACGGAGAGGGGAGCGCCAGAGAGGCGGGUACCCAAACCGGGUCCGCGGGACAGAGACCGAGCAGGGGAACGCGCCGAACUGCGGAGCGGGAGCCCCUGGAAGGAGCCGCGGGGCGGAGACCUCGAGCAGGGGGAUCCGCCCCCCCCCCCCCCCCCCCCCCCCCCCCCCCCCCCCCCCCCCCCCCCCCCCCCCCCC
rnacentral:lncRNA from 12 species